rnacentral:rRNA from 1 species
GUGCCUAACACAUGCAAGUCGAGCGAACUCUUCGGAGUGAGCGGCGGACGGGUGAGUAACGCGUGGGUAACCUGCCCUGUACACAUGGAUAACAUACCGAAAGGUAUGCUAAUACAAGAUAAAAUAUAUUUAUCGCAUGAUAGAUAUAUCAAAGCGUUAGCGGUACAGGAUGGACCCGCGUCUGAUUAGCUAGUUGGUAAGGUAAAGGCUUACCAAGGCGACGAUCAGUAGCCGACCUGAGAGGGUGAUCGGCCACAUUGGAACUGAGACACGGUCCAAACUCCUACGGGAGGCAGCAGUGGGGAAUAUUGCACAAUGGGCGAAAGCCUGAUGCAGCAACGCCGCGUGAGCGAAGAAGGCCUUCGGGUCGUAAAGCUCUGUCCUCAAGGAAGAUAAUGACGGUACUUGAGGAAGAAGCCCCGGCUAACUACGUGCCAGCAGCCGCGGUAAUACGUAGGGGGCAAGCGUUAUCCGGAUUUUACUGGGCCGUAAAGGGUGCGUAGGCGGUCUUACAAGUCAGGAGUGAAAGGCUACGGCUCAACCGUAGUAAGCUCUUGAAACUGUUAGACUUGAGUGCAGGAGAAGGGAGAGUGGAAUUCCUAAGUGUAGCGGUGAAAUGCGUAGAAUAUUAGGAGGAACACCCAGUUGCGAAGGCGGCUCUCUGGACUGUAACUGACGCUGAG